rnacentral:rRNA from 1 species
AGCUCCAAUAGCGUAUAUUAAAGUUGCUGCAGUUAAAAAGCUCGUAGUUGGAUGUCGGGAGUGGGCUGGCGGUCCGCCGCGAGGCGUGCCACCGUCUGUCCCGUACCCCUGCCUCCCGGCGCUCCCCGGAUGCCCUUAGCUGGGUGUCCGACGGGGCCCGGAGCGUUUACUUUGAAAAAAUUAGAGUGUUCAAAGCAGGCCGCAGCACGCCUGAAUACCGCAGCUAGGAAUAAUGGAAUAGGACUCCGGUUCUAUUUUGUGGGUUUUCGGAACCAGGGCCAUGAUUAAGAGGGACGGCCGGGGGCAUUCGUAUUGCGCCGCUAGAGGUGAAAUUCUUGGACCGGCGCAAGACGGACGAAAGCGAAAGCAUUUGCCAAGAAUGUUUUCA